rnacentral:lncRNA from 1 species
UUCAGCUGCUUUUUCAGCUUUGUUACUCUGUUCAAAGCAGGAAACAUGACAAACCUUUGAUUGUUUUGCUUAAAUCCAAACAAUAAUUCAAAGAGAGACAAACAAGCAACACUAAAUGAUGCCUGUGAUGUACAGGAAAGCCAAAGAAUUAGAAGAAACUGAUGAGGAUGGUGUGGAUCAGAGUGGGCCCUUUCCACACAUCCCUCCCAUGGCAGCAGGGUCCUGCACAGUGAAGGAACAGCACUGGGCCAGCUGUGCAGGUGUCACAGUGGGGCAUCCUGCACUGUCUGCAUCCCCAGCACAGCCUGCUGCCUCCAGAGCAACAACACCAACACCCCUGCCAGCAACCUCCUGAAAAACUCCUGUGAAGGCAGAAGAGUCUCCUCCCUUGAGCAUCCCCACACUCAGAAUCCACUGCAAAGCAAGGGUGGAGGCAGCCUGGCCUGGCCCAUCCCCUCCUGAGCACUUCUGAGGAUCUCUGCAGUGUCUGGGGGUGAAACACCCACCCAUGGCCACACACCAGGGCUGCCCCAGAGCCCAGAGGUGUGGGUGAGUGCUGGCUGCUCUUCCUGCCCAUCCUCAAUCACUGACUCCCCCUGGGGCGUCCAGCACACAGAAACCACACAGAAACCACAGAGAAACCAUCCAGGUGUGCUCUGUCCAGCACACAGAAACCACACAGAAACCACACAGAAACCACACAGAAACCACAUGGAAACCACACAGAAACCACCCAGGUAUCUGUGCCCAGCACACAGAACCCACACAGAACCACCCAGGUGUCUGUGCUCAGCACACAGAACCCACCCAGGUGUCUCAGCCCAGCACACAGAACCCACCCAGAACCACCCAGGUGUCUGUGCCCAGCACACAGAACCACCCAGGUGUCUGUGCCCAGCACACAGACUCACCCAGGUGUGUGUGCCCAGCACACAGAAAUCACACAGACCCACCCAGGUGUCUGUGCCUAGCACACAGAACCCACACAGACCCACCCAGGUGUGUGUGCCCAGCACACAGAACCCACACAGACCCAUUGAGGUGUCCGUGCUCAGCACACAGAACCCACACAGAACCAUCCAGGUGUGUGUGCCCAGCACACAGAACCCACACAGAACCAUCCAGGUGUCCGUGCCCAGCACACAGAACCACCCAGGUGUCUGUGCCCAGCACACAGAACCAUCCAGGUGUCUGUGCCCAGCACACAGAACCCACACAGACCCAUUGAGGUGUCCGUGCCCAGCACACAGAACCCAGCAGUGCCCACAGCCCCCUCCCAGGCGCAGCCCUGCCCACACCCACCUCUGGCAGGGGCAUGCCGUUGAUGAUGAGGUCGGGCUGCUGGGGGCUCUGGCCCGUGAAGGUGUGGUGGUAGAUGUGGUUGGAGCCGGCGUUGCGGCUGUUCUGGCUCUCCACGUUGAGGAAGGUGCUCUCGGAGCGGCGGCAGCCCAGCGGCAGGGUCUGCUGGUGGUAGUCGAAGUAGUUGAGGGAGGAGGUGAGGGAGGAGCAGCUCACCACGUUCAUUUUGUCCGUCUCCUCCACGUCCCGCGGCACCAGGCGGAUGUCGUUCUUGCUGAUCUUCUUCUUCUUGCUGGAUUUUUUCUGAUGCCCGUAGGAGUACUCCGCGAUUCUGGGGGACAGAGGGGACGUGAGAGCUGAGAGCACCCCAAACCCUGCCCUGCUAAACACCCAACAGACACCCAGAGGGCUUGGCCCCAUCCCCUGUAGCCCUCCUAGUCAUGCACGUUACGUCAUGGUUGGGGCUGGUGGCACCACACAGCCUUUAGCUUGUUUUCACAUGUAUCAUGUUUUCAGGUCAAAUAUGUAAAAAACAAAACAGGGGAAGGAAGCAUGCUUCUGUUUUGAUCUAGUGUAUGUAAUUGAUGAUUUUUAGUUACUAGAAGUAAAGUCCAGCCUGCAGAAGAGAAAAAUGGAGAUGUUAAAAUCCAUGAACUGAAAAGGGUACCUGCAUUCAUUUCCAUGCAUAAUAAGGAUUUUAAAAGUGAUUUAAUUUGGUCACCAUAAUGAAAAUUCAAAAGGAAUAGCAGAAUUUUUUCCCAGUUCAUUUUCCAUAGCAGUAAAUAAAGCAGACCCAGAAGCAGUCCUAGCUGGCAAGCUCAGUUCUCUCACACUCCAAAGGCUGUUUGUUUAUUAAUGCUUUAUCUAAAUUGCUGGUGUUUUGACUGUCUACUGAUUGUACCUGAUCUUUUCUCCAAUUGAAUUCCAUUCCUCCCUCACCCUGACACGCACAUCUGGGAAAUGCUUUCACCUUCUAGAAAUCAGAAAACAACAGCCGUGUUUUGCAAAGAAAAAUGAUCCUUCUUGACCUUUUUAUUUUACAGCAAGCUUGUUUUUCUCUGCCUUUCCUUCCCUCUUUGCUUCCCACCUGCCAAAAGAAUCAACUGAUGAAGUGCCUUGUUUGCCUUCUGCAGAGGAAAAAAGUUACUGCAAAACACCACCCAAGCAAACAAUGACAAAUAAUUUGCACCUUGCAUUAGUUGUGUCUGCUGGGCUCAGAGUGACUGUGGCUCAUCUUCCCACAGUGAGCACCACAACAGUCCCUGCCAUGAAUUUGUACAUGCACAGCACUGGGCAACUCGGUAUUUCCUAGGGAAGCACAUCAAAUGCUAUGCAGAGUCAGAAAUACACAUUUGGAAGUCAGGAUUUUGCUCCUCUUCUUUGUUAAGAUAACAGCAUUAAAAAAAAAUCCAAUAGCUGAAACAAAAAUAAUGGCAUGAAUAAAUAAUACAGUUUAUCAGGAAAGGCAAAUCUUGGACAAAUAUUCCUGCUCCAGAAAGCGAAUUGCCUGAGCAUGAAAAUGCCACUAAGUCGAACAGCCCUCGUAUGUGCCUCAUAAAUUAACACGUUUUUGAAGGCUCUCCAGCAGCUCUUGUGAAGAAUCUCUAAACCAAGGCACUGCAAAGCCUAGAGGGUGGGGAGAGGGUGCCCCAUGGUCACUGCUGCUGCUGCUGAGCCUGCCUGGUGCUUCCCCAGCUCUGCAGCUCACUCCUGCCCAGACACACACUGAUAACAUCCGAGUGUGCACAGAAAUCAGAGCAAGGCAGGCAUUUCCGUGGUGCCAACAAUCUAUAUGCUGUUGACUCGUCUAACAAUGCUUGAUGAAGCUUUAAUUGUUUUGUUUACCUAAAUGUUUAAGUUUGGCAAUGCGAGAGCCCAAUUAUUUCCUGCAGGCAUUCAUUUCGCUGUCCUCUCUGUAUUGACCAAUUAUUUAAUUAAACCGCACUUCAUUAAUCGCUAAGCCGUCACAGUAAACGCAGGGUUUAUGUGUAUGUGAGGAGCUGCUAGGGGCACCACCACAACAUGAUUUUUAUCCAUUCAGGUCCCAUCCUCCUUUAAUGGGCCGAGCUGGCAAGAAAUCUGCUCUAUGAGCUUUCACUGGAAGCUAGACAUCCCACAAUACAGCACAGACCGACCUUUAUUUGCAGAUGAUUUUUCCCCCAUCGAGCAAAAAGGUUUAUAUACGCACUUUGGGAGCGGGGUACAAUGCCCCGACUCUCCGGCAUUAUUCCUGCGUAAAUAAAACUUUAAAGACCGCACAUCCCCCCGCGCCGCCGAAUUGCCAGGGGCGAGCGUGCGUUUCCAAGGUAGAGCAAAAUUAAUUUCCAUCCCUCCUCUCUGAAACGACUCGGUGCCGAAGGAAUGGAGAAGUCAUGGCUAUUUCACCAGUAACAGGAUUAAACCAUUUAUGAGGCAUUGCAGCUGCUCUUUUAUGGCAUCUGAUUGAUAUUCAUGUGUGGUUAGCAUUUGUCUCCUAACUUGUGUAACACAGAGAAUAGUAAAAGAGAGACAAUAAUCGCCAGGCUGUUACAUAUUCAGGGGUUGGAUUUCCCCGAUCAGCCUUUCAGGGGCUCCAGCUCGGGGCUGACCUCCCCUCCGGCAUUUCGGACCGCGGAGCGCUCGCCCAAAGCCAGGGCACAACCAAAAUCCUGGCUGGCCCCAUCCCUGGCAGCCCUGCUCUCGGGGGCUGUGCCGCUGUUCUGCCUUGGCCACGGCUGGCCAGCGUGGCGAGCAGCCUCGGCGGGCACACAAUAGCUCCUUUGAAGGGCAGCGAGCCGGCGGUGCCCCCGCGGAUGCUGCGGGGAUGCUGCGGUGGCCAGCGGGGUUCCCCUGCCUCGGUCAGCCCGGGGAGCCGUGCUGGGGACGGGGACAUG